rfam:Klebsormidium nitens mitochondrial DNA, scaffold: kfl01814, whole genome shotgun sequence.
GGAUGGGUGUCUGAGCGGUUGAAAGUACCGGUCUUGAAAACCGGCGUAUUGUCAUGCAAUACCGGGGGUUCAAAUCCCUCCCCAUCCA